UCGCGAGGAUGGAGGUCAUAUAAACGAAGGAGACGAUUCCCAAUUCACUGAGUCCAAAGUUUAGUCUAAACUGUAGCAAUAGCAGUGUUCGUUAGAAGCAACUGUGACAUGAAAACCACAACCAUGGUUUCGACUCUCUGUCUCUUUUUUAUUUUGUCUUCUUUUUUCCUGUUCUCAGACGCAUUUGUCAGUAACAGACCCGGUAGAAGGUCUUUUAAGCACGAAAGAAACAUUCAAGACAUUUGCCAGAUCGCCUUAGAACAAUGUGUUGGCAUGAGACCUGAGCAGCAGUCACGUGACAUAAAGGCUGAAGAUACAAGACUCAAGAGAAGGGACAUCGAUUUAUUUUACCGAUGAACGAAAAUAGCACAAAUCAAGGCGCCCUCGGAGUAAACUAUUGCUUCUGUAAAUUAGCACUGAAGGAGAAAGUUUGAUCAUUAAAGAGACUGAAAAAAGAGCGAAGUAGCUAA